rnacentral:lncRNA from 1 species
CCUUUUCAAAUCCAUAGUCCUUCUCCUUCCCUACAUUCCAGACGGAUCUCAAAUGUGGAAGAUGGAACUGAAGCCCUGCUCACUGCUAGGCUGAGCAUCAGGCUGCAUUCUUGAGGAGUGGCCAAUUUAUUUCCUGACCUGAAGCAAGGAUAUCUUUUAAUUUUUUUUCUCUUCAUUUCCUCAGUUUGAAUACUCCCAAGAAGAAGAGCUAAUCCACGUGUUGGUACAAUCUCUUCUGGAACAAAGGAACUGGAGCAGAUGGGAAGUGUUUGAUAGGAAGUUGUUUAUCCUUGCCGAAUAGCCCCAAAACAAAUCGAUAAUGGUGGGAGUUUUUCUCUGGCAUGUUCAAUAAUGACUCCACGUCCCAAGUGAUCUGUGCCGCUCUCUCAUCUACACCGCGGGUGCCACACCCUUCCGUAGCUGAGGGUUUCAUGUCCUCUCCCUCCUUGCUUCUGCCUUAUCAAAACCUGGUCUCAGAAAAAGAAAGUCUGUUCCCAGUCAAUGAGUAUAAUUUUGUUUAAAUGUCAUUGCCCCUUUUCCUCUUUGAGUUAGGCAAUUCAGUUUCCUCUUUGAGUUAGGUUUGGUAAAAAGUUUUGUCUCCUGUGUAAAUAAUUUAGCUGUAUGCUAACUGGAGGAGCUACCAAGUGUACCAGUGGUGGCCACUUACUGCAUUCAGUGAGGGCCUCCUCUUUCCACUCCCUUCGUGACUAAGAGUGAGGGAAUCAGAGGUGACUCACAUUAGGCCUUUACUGUAUAUCUCAGUAUACUUAAGAAUGUUGACCUUAACCUCGGCAAGGGCGGAGAGACGCAUGGUCCACAGCAGCGCAUCUCCAGAGCCUGGACCGAGCUGAGAGCAUGCAGAGCCUCCAUAACUGGGGAAAAAAACCAUUCAGAAACCCUUCCCUGAAAAUUAAGGCCUGGACCCAAGUGGAGAUGGAAACCUUUGAUUCCAACUGACCCUACUGCUGUGUUCACAAGGACAGGACCACGUGAUUACUCCGGGAUCCCUGAACACACAGCCCUUGGCCUGAGGAAUGAUCCAAUUGUAGCUUCCCUGACCUGACCUCAAGAAAGAUGCAAUCCUCCUGUAUGACAUCAAAGCUUCGUUUGCUCCCACAGCUCUCACCCGCGACUUCCCUAACUCCCAAGGCUUCCCCUAAGCUGUGGAGGACUUCAGCAGUGAGUCAUCAGUGAUCUGAACUCUCUGAUCUCUUGCUAUGUUUGGGGCCCUCCCUCUGUCUCUGAAGACUUUUAGUGACAACCCAGAAAUUAAGAACUUUCCCCUAUGCUUUUAUGUUUUCUAAUAUCACAUAGCAAAGAGCUACACAGCAGCAUUUGAGUCCAAAUGCUACUUAAUCUGAAUGAUCACUUGCCAAUCUCUAAGUGUUAUUUGGAGCAUCACAUAGAGCAAUAACAACAAGUGCUCAUUCUUUUCCACUAAGAGGGUCCCUUGCAUAAGGACCCCUUUUCCUCAGUAUUCAUUAUGAAGGGUGUUCAAAAAAGUGUUUUCAGAAGUCUGUAAAUGUUCUACAAAAAUUUUUAUUUGUGCAUUUUUUUUUUAUUUUUUUAGAGAGGUCUUGCUAUAUUGUCCAGGAUGGUCUUGAACUCCUGACCUCAAGCAAUCCUUCUGCCUCUGCCUCCCAAAGUGCUGGGAUUACAGGCACUAACCACCAUGCCUAGCCUGAAUAUUUUUUUUUAAUUUGAAGAUUUUACUUUUAUAACUUUGGCAUACUGAAAAAAAUAAUAUGGUUGUAAAGUUUUGUUCUUUCUCCCAUUGAGAGACAGAGUCUAUUUCUCCCUGGAAGCUAAACUUGGUCACACCACUUGUUUUGGCCAAUAAGUCACUAGCAAAUAUGGCAUGAGCAGUAGCUUGAGAAAGGUUGUCCCCUUAGGGUUUGUCUUCUCUUGCUGACUUUGGAACCCAGCAGCCAUGGGAAGAAGGUAGGGCUGGUCAGCUAGAAGCUGGACUUAUGCCAUCCCAGCCAACUGCCAAACACAUGAGUGAGGCCAUCUAGGAUCCAGUGACCACAGCCACCUAAGAGGGCUAUGGCAAGUCUAGUAGAAGAACUGCCCAACUGUGCUCAGCUUGAAUUGCCAAUCCACAGAAUUACGAGCUAAUGAAUAAGCGUUGCUUUAAAUCACUAAGUUUUUUGGGGUAGUUUCCUACUUAGUGAAACCUGAGAUGAUGAUAACAUAACGAAAUGAGCAUAAGCAUCUCCUGGAGCAUGUGUAUAACCACCUUAUGCUGACGCUGUCACACGCUUCCUAUGUGCAUGUUUGAGAUUGUGUCUAUGAUCUUAUUAAUUGCAUUCACUUUGCUUAUAAACUAAUGAGAUAAGAGCAGUGCAUGUAACACAUUUGUUCCAAGUGAGGUAAAUGAAGUCCCAGCCCUUUAUACAAACGGGGUAAGAGGUGAAAUGGGGAAACUGGGAGAAUUGGUGAAGAAGUCAGUCAUAAUGAGGCACACAAUUUUUCCACAAAUCAUAAUUUUGUCCAUGUGGUUUUAUAAAGGAACUUGAGCCAUUAAGUAUAAGGAAUUUGUACCUAUGCUUUUUUUUUACAUGUUCAUGUGCUUAAAUAACAUGAUAAUAAAUGCAUAUUUAAAUAACAUUAAAAUGGAA